GCAAGCAGUUCAGCUUUCGGUUCUCCUGCCGGCGGCGCCGCGUCUUUUCCCGCACCUUCGCAUCGUAUGCCACUUCAGACGCCAUGGCCGUGGCUCCGCCUCUCUCAACCCACGUCUCCCGAACUCUAACCUCAAACCUGCACCUCUGGCCGCGGACCCACGGUGGCGUGGCUCAUGCGCGGACGCGGGCUCUGAUCCCGACACCGGCUGCGGCGUGCGCCUUCCGUUUCAGUUUCCGUGUUCGCGCCACCGCCAGUGGCUCGAAGCUGCCGCCUUAUCCUCUACCCGAUGUCUUCCCCUACAUUACCGCCGAGUGGGAGGCCGUCGCGAAGGGUUGGGCGUGCGCCGCCGUCGCCGUAUACUGCCUCUCCCGCGCAGUGCCCGCCGCGGGGCGCCUGCCGCGCGCGCUCGCCGGCGGCGGCGGGGGAGGGGGCGCGGCUGUUGUGGUGGCAGCCAGGGGCGGGGUCGCCCUCGCUGCGUUUGCAUCGGCGCGUGCCGCCGCUACAUACGCGCAGCAGGCGUUUCUCUGGGAGGCGGCGCUGCAGGCGGCGGGGCGGCUGCGGGAGCGCGCCUUCGAGCGCCUCCUAGAGCGCGAUCUCGAGUUCUUCGAGGGUAGGGGAGGGGUGGCUGCGGGCGACAUCGCGCACAGGAUCACCGACGAGGCGGACGAUGUCGCGGAUGCCUUGUUCUCCGUGCUCAACACGAUUGUGCCAACAAGCUUGCAGUUGAUAACGAUGGCCAUUCAGAUGGUCAUUCCAUGCAUGUGCUUCGCCAUAGUCAAUCUUGGUAAAAGGCUUCGUCAAAUAUCCAAGGAGGCACAUCUUAGCCUCGCCAUGCUCGCAUCAUAUCUCAACGAUGUACUUCCAUCUAUGCUGACUGUGAAGGCAAACAAUGGGGAACUUAAGGAGAUCAUGAGAUUCCAAAAGUUAGCUCGUGCUGAUCUAAAGAAUAAUUUGAGUAAGAAGAAAAUGAAGGCUCUCAUACCUCAAGCGGUUCGAGCAACAUACAUUGGGGGCCUGCUUGUGCUCUGUGCUGGGUCGAUAGUUGUUUCAGGCUCAUCCUUUGAUGCUGAAGAGUUUCUGUCUUUCCUAACAGCACUUGCUCUUGUUGUGGAGCCUAUUCAGGAUGCAGGGAAGGCAUACAAUGAAUAUAAGCAAGGACAGCCAGCAUUAGAACGCAUAUUUGAUCUUAUGAGGUUCAACCCUAAGGUGACUGAUAAGCCAAGGGCAAUUCAUUUACAAAGUAUUAAUGGGGACAUUAAGUUCCAUGAUGUUACAUUUAGAUAUGUUGAUGACAUGCCUCCAGUAGCAGAUGGUGUGAAUCUUCAUAUUAGACCGGGAGAAAUAAUUGCUUUAGUUGGACCUUCUGGUGGAGGCAAAACUACUCUUGCCAAAUUACUCCUCCGUCUUUAUCAUCCACAAAAAGGGUAUAUACUUCUGGACAACCAUGAUAUUCAGGACAUUCAAUCGCAAUGCCUGAGAACACAUAUCGCUUUUGUUUCACAGGACACUAUGCUAUUUUCUGGGACAAUUGCUGAAAACAUUGCUUAUAGAGACCCUGUGGGAGAUAUUGACAUGAAUAGGGUUGAGUACGCUGCUAAGAUUGCCAAUGCUGAGGAGUUCAUUAAGAUGUUGCCAGAAGGGUACAAUUCAAAUGUGGGACAGAGAGGUUCUAGUUUGAGCGGUGGACAGAAGCAAAGGUAAAAUGCUCACUUUCCAGUUUCCAGACUACCUUGUAUCACAAGGUUAUCUAUUGCCAGGGCAAUCUAUCAAAAUUCCUCCAUAUUGAUAAUGGAUGAAGCAACUUCUGCUUUGGAUAUCAGAUCUGAGCUGCUACUGAAAGAAGCGCUUAGUAAUCUAAUUGCAAAACACUCAGUAACUGUUAUCAUCAUUGCUCAUCGACAGGAAAUGGUCCUAAUGGCUGACAGGAUUAUUUCACUAGAGCGCGGUGAAUUGCGAGAGAUGUCGAAACAGGCAUUUUUGUCUCAAGAUGGUCACUUCAGCUUACCAAGGAUCAGGAGUCCAAAUUAGGGUGUCCAAACUAGGGUGAGACUUGGCAUGGGUAAUGGUAGUUUCUCUCGUGAAGAUUUGUUCAUAUAUUUGGCCAUGGAAGAAAACGAUUGAUAGAAUCACAUUUCUUGCCUGAGCCCUGCUCAGAACUUUGGCUUCUUGGAACCUUGUUUCAUCCCAACAGCAACAAAUCUGUCAACAUUAUCGAAGGUCGUCUGCCGGAGAGAAUAGCAGGCUCCUCAGCGGCAUUGGCUCCUACCUGCUGCAAGAUUCUCCUCAAGACCUCAACAGGAAGGUCAAAGCAAGGUAUAGGGUUUUACCAAUUUUUGUACACAUGAAAAAGCACAGGUUCCUUACAUCCCCCGCCCCCGCCCCUGCAUACAUGCAGGAUGCAGUAGUUGAGCUGUAUAUAUGCCAAAAUAAAGUUAUUCGUUUUAGAUUUUUUUA